rnacentral:misc_RNA from 1 species
UCUCCGUUGGCGAACCAGCGGAGGGAUCAUUAUAGAGUGUUACAACUCCCUAAACCACCGUGAACAUACCUAUGUUGCUUCGGCGGGAUCGCCCCGUGGCCCCCGUGGCCCGGAAUCAGGCGCCCGCCGGAGGUCCUAAACUCUAGUUUUCAAUUUGUCUUCUGAGUGGCGCACGCAAAUAAAUAAAUCAAAACUUUCAACAACGGAUCUCUUGGUUCUG